rnacentral:rRNA from 1 species
UACGAAGGUCCCAAGCGUUAUCCGGAUUUAUUGGGUUUAAAGGGUGCGUAGGCGGGCUAUUAAGUCAGUGGUGAAAGCCCCAAGCUUAACUUGGGAACUGCCAUUGAUACUGAUGGUCUUGAGUACAUUUGAGGUGGGCGGAAUGUGUCAUGUAGCGGUGAAAUGCUUAGAUAUGACACAGAACACCGAUUGCGAAGGCAGCUGGCUACACGAAUAUUGACACUGAUGCACGAAAGCGUGGGGAUCAAACAGG